CAGACCUCUAAUCGGA
rnacentral:rRNA from 4 species